rnacentral:lncRNA from 1 species
CACAGGAUGCCUUUCCAUUUGUUUAGGUUUUCUUUCAUUUCUCUCAGUGAAGUUUUAUAGACUUAAAUUUACAAGCCUCCCACCUACUUGAAUAAAUGUACCCUAUUUUAUUCUUUAUGCUAAUAUUAUAGAUGGAAUUGUUUCCUUAUUUUCCCUUUUGCAUUGUACAUAGCUACUGUAUAAAAAUACAACUGACUUUUGUGUAUUUUGCAAAUGUUCUGAAACCUUGCUGAAUUUCUUACAAGCUCUACUGGUUUUUCACGCAGAUUCUUUAGGACUUCCUACAUGUAAGAUCACGUCAUCUGAGAUUAAGACAGCUUUACUUCAUCCAUUCCAAUUUCAGUGUAUUUUAUUCUUCUUCUUGCCUGACUGCUUUGGCUAGAACUUGUAGCACAAAGCUAAAUACAAGUGGCAUCAUAGUUUUAUUUGUGAUAACAAAGGGAAGACAGACUUUUCACAGUAAGUAUGUUAGCUGUUUUUCACAAAUGCUUUUCAUCCUCUUGAGGAAAUUCCAUUCUAUUCUUAGUUUGUAGAGCUUUGUACACUGUGAAAGGGUGUGGAGUUUGUUAACAUGUUGCUACAUUUGAUUUACUAGUACUUUAUUAAGGUUUUUGGCAUUUAUAGAUAAGGUAUAUAUAGGUUGUGUUUGACACUGGUACAAGGGAAAUGUCUCAAAAUGAGUUGGAGUGUUUUCUCAAUUCUAUUUUCUGAAAGAGGUUGAAGAGUGGUAUUAAUUCUUUAAUUUCUGAAAGAACUCACCAGUGGAACAAUUUGGUACUAGGCUAUUCUUUUGUCAGGUCAUUUUUUAAAACACAAUUUCCUGAUAUGAAAUCCAUAUAACAUCAAAGUAACAAUUUUAAAGUAAACAGCUUAGUAGCAUUAAAUCCCAUUCACAUGAUCUACCUGCAAAAUGUUCACCUCACUCAAAACACUAUAGUCAUUAAACAGUUUCUCCACAUUGCCUCUCCGAGCUUGUGGCAGCUACCAAUCAAAAUUCUUUUUCAAAGGAAUUAUCUAUAUGUAUGGAAUCAUACAUGCAACCUUUGUGUCUACUUUCAUUCACUUUGCAUAAUGUUUUGUAAGUUCAUCGACACUAUAGCAUGUAUCAGUAAUUCAUGACUUUUCAUGCCUGAAUAAUACUCCAUUUUAUGCAUAUACCAAAAUUUUAUUACUUUGGACAUUUGCACUGUAUUCUACUGCGGCUAAACCAUUUUAAAUAGCAGUUAUGUUGACAUUUCAAUUUAUGCACAUUCUUGCCAAGACAUUAUUUUUCAUGCUUUUUAAAAACCAUGUUUAUUUUGAAAGAGAGCACACAAGGGGCGCCUGGGUGGCGCAGUCGGUUAAGCGUCCGACUUCAGCCAGGUCACGAUCUCGCGGUCCGUGGGUUCGAGCCCCGCGUCGGGCUCUGGGCUGAUGGCUCAGAGCCUGGAGCCUGUUUCCAAUUCUGUGUCUCCCUCUCUCUCUGCCCCUCCCCCAUUCAUGCUGUGUCUCUCUCUGUCCCAAAAAUAAAUAAACGUUGAAAGAGAGCACACAAGCAGGGGAAGGGCAGAGAGAGGAGAGAAAGAAUCCCAAGCAGACUCCACGCUAUCAGCACAGAGCCCCAACAUGGGGCUCUAUCCCAUGAACUGUGAGAUCAUGACCUGAGCCAAAAGUAAGAGUCGGAUGCUUAACUGACUGAGCCACCCACGUGCCCCUAUUCUUCAUGCUUAAAAAUAUUUUUCACACUUAGUCAUUUUUGAGUGAGACAGGCAGAGCAUGAGCGGGGAAGGGGCAGAGAGAGAGGGAGACACAGAAUCCAAAGCAGGCUCCAGGCUCUGAACUGUCAGCACAGAACCCCACGUGGGGCUUGCACCCAUGAACCGUGAGAUCAUGACCUGAGCCGAAGUCAGACACUUAACUGACUUCAAGCCACCCUGGCGCCCCUUUCACGCUUUUUAAAUUACAAGCAAACUAGUGGAUGUGAAAUGAUCUCACUGUGGUUCUGAUCUGCACUUCACUUAUAUCUAAUGUGAAGAAUGUUUCAUGUGUUUUUUGUCCAUUUGUACAUUUUUGAAAAAAUGUCUUUUCAAGAUUUUGCAUUUUAAUUGUCAAUUUGUUAUGGAGAUGUGACCAGGUUUUUAAAAAAUACAUAACAUAUUCUUGAUACCAGACCUUUAUUUAAUAUAUGCUUUGUAAAUAUUUUCUCAUCGUCUGCAUAUUGUCAUUUUAUUUUCUUGGUAAUGUCUCUGGAUGCAUAGAAGUAUUAAUUUUUGAUAAAUUAAAUAUAUUAUUUGUUUUUGUUUCUGCUUUAGGAAUCACAUUUAAGAUUCUAUCAUCAAAUCCAAGGUCAUGAAGAUUUAUUCCUAUUUUCUACUGAAAGUUAUAGAGAUUUAACUCUUGUAUUUGGGAUGCUGAUACAUUUUGAGUUAAUUCCGUAGAAGGUGGAAGGUAGGAGUCCAUCUUCAUUUCUUUGCAUGUGGAAAUCCAGCUGUCCAAGCACUAUUUGUUGAAGGGACUGUUCAUUCCUGUAAAUCAUCUUGGGACCCUCAUCAAUAAUCAACUGGGUACAGAUGUAUGCAUUUAUUUCUGGAACCUCAAUUCUAUUCCAGAUUCUAUUAAGCUUUGAAAUAAAAACUUGAGUCCUUCGACUUUAUUCUUUUUCAAGAUUGAUUUGGGUAUUCAGAAACCCUAGCAAUUUUAUAUGAAUUUCUGGAUUAGCUUUUUCACUUCUGCAUAAAAUGCUGUUCAGAUUUUGAAAGAGAUUGCAUUGAAUGUGUAGAUCACUAUGGGUUGCACCAACAUCUUAAGAACAUUGUAUUACAUUACAUGAACACAGGAUGUUUUGCCAUUUAUUUACAUGUUCUCUAAUGUAUUCCAGCAAAGUUUUGCAGUUUUCACUGAACAUGUAUUUUACCUCUCAGGUUAAAUUUAUCCCUAGGUAUUUUCUUUUGUAUGCAUGGAAUUAUGUUAAUUUUUCACACUGUAAUUAGCUAUAGAAAUGCAAUUAAUUUUAUGUGAUUUUUAACCCUUUAACUUUCCUGAUUCUGUUAUUAUGUCUGAAACUGUGCCCAUAGCGUUAAUGAGGUUCAAACUAGCAGAAAAUUUAAAACUUGUGUUUCAGAGAACUGUUUCCCCCUAAUCAGCCAUUGUGUCUUUUCAGAACCCACCAAUAAAUCCACUAGCUGUCUCUGCAGAAGCCUGGACUCGAGGCCAACUAAUAUGGUUCCAGCCUAUGAAGAAGCAAAGUUACAUUCAGUUUAUGCCAGUUCUGAGAGCAUGCAAGUAGCUCCUUCUUCUUGUCCUAAGAUAACCUCCUGACAUCAGGGACUGAAUUUUGCCUCAUUUUGAUGUUAACUUUCCACCCCAAAGUGAACAAGGAAUGUAUGUUACAUAUAUGUUUGCUCAAUGAGCAUGUUCCACCUUUCCUCAUGAAUAGUCACAAGUUUCCCCACUCUUUUCUUCAAUAUGUAUGUAAUCUCAACUCCUAUGGUUAUAAAAAACUUGUUCUCUCCACCUUUGCGGAGUUGGAUUUGAGGCUUGCCCUCCUGUCUCGUUUGGCUGCCUCUCAAAUAAACCCUUUCCUUACUGCAUACUGUUAUUUUAAAAUGCAUAGAUUCAUCUAAACAACACGAAGCAAAAACUUCUAUAACCAACAAAAUAACUUGUCUACUCUCAUACUUAACCUCAGGAAAACAACUUAUUCUGUGUUACUAUACUUGGCUUUUACCAAAACAUCAUCUGUAUAUAGGAAUUUUGAAUAUGGAUUCUUUCACCUACCAAAACCCAUUUGAAAUUCAUCUAUAUUGCUCAUGUAUCAAUAGUUCAUUCUGCAUUAUUGUUUAGUUUUACAUUAUAUGGAUGUAGCACAUUUUAUUCAUCCAAUACUCUAUUUGAGGGUCAUUCAGGUUUUUUUCCAGUUUGGGCUGACAAAAAAAAAAAAAAAAAAAGCUACUAUGUUUUGAUGGUGCGCAACAUUAAUGCACAGUUCUAUGUUAGAACACAGAUUAUUAUUUCAACUUGGAUAAAUACCUUUAAGAGUAACUGCUUGGCCAUAUAAUAGAUGUACAUUUAAUUUUAUGAGAAACUGACAAACUGCUUUUACAAAGUACCUGUCUCAUUUGAUAGGCAAUGCAUAGGAAUUCCAUUUAUUCUGUAUCUUUAGCAGCACUUUAAAAUGUUGGUUUUUCUUAUUCAGCCAUUCAAGAUGUUUAGUGACGUCAUGGUGGUUUUAAUCACCAUUUCCUUAAUGACAAAUGGAUGCUAUUUUUCUAUUUACUUGUGUAUUAAUAAAAAAUAUAUUUCCAUCUUUUGUACAUUUAAUUGUGAUAUAAUUCAUAUACUACAAAAUUAACCCUUUUCACUACCCACUUAUCAUUCCUUCUAGUCUCUGAAAACUACUCUUUACUUCUGCUCUAUCACAUAAUAAAUGGCAUUUUGUGUCUGACUUCUGUCAUUUGCAUAAUAUUUUCAAAUUCAUCCAUAUUGUACCAAGC